UACGUAGGGACCAAGCGUUGUUCGGAUUUACUGGGCGUAAAGGGCGCGUAGGCGGCUUGUCAAGUCACUUGUGAAAUCUCUGGGCUUAACCCAGAACGGCCAAGUGAAACUGACAUGCUAGAGUGCAGAAGGGGCAAUCGGAAUUCUUGGUGUAGCGGUGAAAUGCGUAGAUAUCAGGAAGAACACCAAUGGCGAAGGCAGCUCUCUGGGACGGUACUGACACUGAGACGCGAAAGCGUGGGGAGCGAACAGG
rnacentral:rRNA from 1 species